UCAGAAGAGUGAGAAGUUUAACGUAAUCUACAAAUUCAAGUUUGAGGCCAGACUCGGCAAUGUAAGGCCCUGUCUUAAAACAGAGAAAGAAAAAUGUGGAGCAAGAAGGAGAGAACAAAUGAACCUGGGAUGGAAGGACCUCAGCAGAGGGCCACAACUCAUUGCUCUCAGUGGAUGGCUAGAGUAGUUUUCAUAUUCUGACGGCAGAUCCAAGGUUGAGCAAAGAGAAAAAAGGAGCCAAACAUGGAUGAAGCGAUAGAAAGAAACCACAGGGAAGCCCUCUGGGGACACUCUUAAAAGAAUCUGAACAUUCAAACAGAAUUCUGUUUUUUUUUUCUUGUAAAAAUUCUGUCUUAGGUUUUCCGGACCUGACAGCCCCAGCUGAAACUACUCAACUCACUGUUGCCGUGAGAAGCAGCCCUUGGUACUUGUGAAAUAGUGAAUAGUCAUGGCUAUAUUUCAAUAAAACUUUAUUUACCACAGCGGGCAGCUAGUCAGGCAUGAACUGGGCAGUGAUCUGCUGUUCUGAACUGCAGCUCUCUGCACCAGCGCAAUAUGAACCCAGGGGGGUAAAAUGCUGCCGAUGCCAUCCAUGUACAGUCCCUGCGGGCUGCCCCCAAGGAGCCUGUGAGCAGGAGGACGUCACAAAAGGAGAGGAUACAAUGUUGCAGUUGGGGAUGUGGAGCAUGAGCACAGCACUCUUCUGAAGUCCCUCCCUUCCUGCCCUCUCAUUCUCUGGGGAUGAAGCACACUUGUUGGAUGGAUAAGAGGAAGACGGAGGAAUGGAGGAAUAACAACAUGUCGUCAACUCCUUGCAAGACUCUGGCAGUCAAGAUGGAAUUCCACAAGCUGGACCUAGCCUAGGUUAUUGGGUAAGAAGAGAAUGUUUGAAAAAUGAAGUUGGUAACUGACAAAAUGGUUUGGUUUUGUGAUAUGGAAAUAAGUGAGCUUAAUAUAUUUUGUUUUAGAAGCGUUUUCUGGCAGGAGUGGACUGUGGAGCUUUACUGAGCCAGCAUUACAAGGGUAGCAGCAGACCUGGGCAGGUAGGCUGUUUUAGAGCGAUCCUUUGUUGGCAGCCAUUGUGUUUAAGGAUGGAACAGACCUGAUGUGCUGUUUCAUUUUGCCAAAGUUUGGCUUCUCCUUUUGAAAUCACCAACCAUCCCAGCUGGCAGCAGGCUUUGUCAAAGCCCAGGCUUUGUCAGCAGGGGUGCCUGGAUCAACACCUAUGAACACGAGAAAAGCCCAUUGAAUUCCUUCCUUCUUUUCAUCCCCAGGUGGUAAAGAAUCAACUGUUUUCCAUGGAGGCUGACAUUGGAGGAGCUAGUGGUCCGUUCUACACUCCCAACAAGUUCAAUAUGAUAUCCUGGGAUUUCUGCAAAGACAUAUCUGUGCCACGCUGUUCUAGGGUGGCUCAUGCUAUUUGCCCAGUUUUUGACAAUGCAGUUGGAAGUCAGGGCAAUGACAGAGAUGGGUGAAGGGGAUAACGUAAAGAGUGGAAGGGGGAUGUGAUGUGUCUCUGCCACACACACCCUCCCCACUUUGGUUUUAUUUUUGAGGUGGAGUCUUAUUUAUUUUUGAGACUCUGAGGAGGUAUUGAAUUUGACAUCAAGGUGGUGGGCGGGGAGAGGGAGAGAGAGAAAGUAAGACUGAGAUAUAAAGUAAGAAAUUCAGCUUCCAGCAAAACACAAAAAAAGCCCACCACUUUUGGCUGUGCAGAGCCCGUUCAUUCAGGAGCGUGCUUGAAACCAGGUGUCUUUUCUGUUUUUCUUCACCAAGUGCUGCCCUUUUGAGGCCCUCAGCCCUGAUGCCGCCUCCGUCUUCUGCUUUGCUGUCCCUCCAAGCCUUGUUUGCUACUUGUAACUGACGCAGUGUCCGUGCGUUAUUGGUCAGAGAUGGCUCUGGAUGCGUGAAAUUCUGAAAGAACAUAAUGCUCAUGCUCAGAGCCCUGCCCUGGUGGAAGUGUAACCCGCUAGUAUCAGAUCUCACCGUGGGAGGCAAACCGGAAGCUGAGCCGUUGACUCAGAUCCUGAGGCCUCUGAAGAAUGGGCACAAAGAGCCGCCAUAUUGCAAGCAGCACCCUGAGCUAUUCAGGGCCCAGCGUGGAAGCCAUCACAUUGCCAUACCAGUAUGUUUUCAACCUUUGACAAAAGGUGCUAUUUUAGUCCCAGAACUUGGGAGGCAGAGGCAGGUGGAUCUCUGAGCUCAAGGCCAGCCUGGUCUACAGAGUAGUUCCAGGGACAUCCAGGGCUACACAGAGAAAUUCUGUCAAACGAAAGAAAGAAAGAAAGAAAGAAAGAAAGAAAGAAAGAAAGAAAGAAAGAAAGGAAGGAAGGAAGGAAGGAAGGAAGGAAGGAAGGAAGGAUAAUGAGCCUGUGUUAGAUGUUUGGCUUGUAAUAGACUUUAUUAUCUCAUUAGCUAUCCCCAUGUCAGACAACAGAAAAUGUUUCCGGUGCUGAGGCUACACGAUAAAACAGAAAAGUCCCAGCCCUGAUGGAGAUGAUGACAGAUGUCACAGACCAAAAAAAAAAAGGGGGGGAAGGUGGUGGCAAGAGUUCUGGCAGGGCAAUGGGGGACAACCUCGCCAGGAAUGCAUCCAUGCAGCAUUUCCAUAAAACAGUGCUCCUGCCGUGGUGCCUGGUGGCUGUAAUCCGG
rnacentral:lncRNA from 1 species